UACGGAGGGUGCAAGCGUUAUCCGGAUUCACUGGGUUUAAAGGGUGUGUAGGCGGGCUGUUAAGUCUGUUGUGAAAGCCCUGGGCUCAACCUGGGAACUGCAGUGGAAACUGGACGACUAGAGUGUGGUAGAGGGUAGCGGAAUUCCUGGUGUAGCAGUGAAAUGCGUAGAUAUCAGGAGGAACACCGGUGGCGAAGGCGGUUCUCUGGGCAUUACCUGACGCUGAGGAGCGAAAGUGUGGGGAGCGAACAGG
rnacentral:rRNA from 1 species